GGUGUGCCUGGGGGGAGGUGUGUUUGUACAGAUGUGUCACACGCGAAAGUGUACACAACACAACCACAGAAUAACUUUGUCUAAUGUUUAUAAAGAGAGAAAAUGCAAUUCUUUGUAAUAUACCACAUGAUUGUUUUUAUUUUUUCAUAAUUUCGUUGAGUUAGUGGGUUUAUAUGUAUAUGUAAUUGUCCUUCCGGCCUCGUGUGAAUGGAAGGUUUAUGCUUUUAUGUAUCAUAAAAUUACUGCUGUAUUUUUCUAUGUUAGGUGUAACGGCCCAGUGUUGAUAGCUAGUGAUUCAGUGCAGCACCACCUGCGUGCCCCUGGGAGGCUCCUCAGGUGACUUACGACUGGCCAGUUUCCAGGUGUGUGUGUGUGUGUGUGUGUGUGUGUGUGUGUGUGUGUGUGUGUGUGUGUGUGUGUGUGUGUGUGUGUGUGUGUGUGUCCCCGUCCUGUACUGUCCCUGAAUCCCCGUAUCUCUAAGACGCUUGUAUAUAUUUGUACAUAUGAUAUUUAUUUCAUUAAAUUCAUCGCAUUGU